rnacentral:rRNA from 1 species
UACGUAGGGUGCAAGCGUUGUCCGGAAUUAUUGGGCGUAAAGGGCUCGUAGGCGGUCCAUCGCGUCGGGAGUGAAAAGCUGGGGCUUAACCCCAGUCCUGCUUCCGAUACGGGUGGACUAGAGGUAGGUAGGGGAGAAUGGAAUUCCCGGUGUAGCGGUGAAAUGCGCAGAUAUCGGGAGGAACACCGGUGGCGAAGGCGGUUCUCUGGGCCUUACCUGACGCUGAGGAGCGAAAGCGUGGGGAGCGAACAGG